UAUCAGCUGAUUGAGAAACAAUGGAAUUCCAGUAAAUCUCGAGAUUGUCCACGAUGGUAAAUAUAUCUUCAUCCAUCUGUACACAUUGCUCGUAUCAACGGCGUCACCUCUGAAACAACCUGUUGCCUUCUGCAGAUAUCGGACAACCUGCACAACUUACUUCCACAAAAUUUGAAUGGCAGCACUUUGCUUUUGAUUGAAAAACAUUAUUUAACUGCAAUGAAGAAUGACAUGAAGAAGGGCUACAAAAGUUAGUCUACCAACAUAUGCAAUUUAAACAACAUAAGGCAGGUGUUAAAAAGGCUCCUUCUAAAAUCAAGAAAAAGGAAAACCGAAAUGUGUUAUUUUUGUAUAUGAAUUGCGUCGGGUUCCUAGUUGUACUGAAAACAAGAGCGAAUACGAAGUUACUGAGUAAUGCAGUUCUGUUCAACUACACAAACACAAAAACAAAAACAAAAAAAUUGAGCUGUGGAAGAUGGAGCACAUUGUGAGGGUUACUUUCAAAAGUUGGUAAACCAAUAUAUUGUAGAUAUGUAGACUUCCCGACUAAAUCAGAAUAAAUGAAAAGCCACGAAGUUUGCUGGUAUCAAAUGAAAUAACAAUGAAUACAUUAUAAAUUGCAAGCCCUACUAUGCUCAGUUAUCAGCACUACGAAUCUUAUAGGAUGUUGCAAUAUCUAUUCCUGUUAUUGUACGAACGACAUUCUUUACAGGUGAGAGCUGCAUCCAUGAUCUGCUAUAGGGUCUCCGAGACUGUUAGAAAGGAAGAAGGAAGGUAUUCUCAAAUCAAAACCUUAUCUGAAUGUUUGUAACAAAGUGCCUUCUGUUGAAGACACCUAAGUAGUCAAGUGGGUGUGUCAAAUCGGGUGACGGAUUAAGUCUAACAUUCAAGUAGUCCAUGGCGAGAUUUGAACCAAGGUCACAAAUAGCUGGAGCAACUACUGCAAGGCAUCCAAUAGGAUGUUGUUACAGUUCCGUCAAUCCACACCUGGAGAUUUUUGUAUUUUGCAUCGACGUCGAAAAAUGAGAGGCAGUGUUGACUUUCAUGAGGGUUAAACGCACCGUGUAUAGAUUCAGAAAAAAUACCGCGAAGCACUUUAUCCAAUGAUCUAACGACUCGGCUAAAUUCCUGGAAGCGGGAUACUGAAACUAUAGAGCCGAUAUUUUGGCCAUACAGAGCCCAGGAAUUGGACACCCGACCUUAUGAUUGCGAUUCCAAAAUCCUAAGCACUAGGCCACGCGUCUUCGUAAAAAUCAGAUAAGGACAAAACUGAAAUAAAUUCCUUUGCCGCAAGGAAAAAUAAAUGUCUAACGUUUCGGGUAAAUCUGUUCAUCAGUAAAAAACAUAAAAGAUUUUCUGAUAGAAGCGAUAAAUUGGAUUGCGUCACAUUUUAUACUAAACCUCAAAAGAAAAAUGAAAUUCCAUCAACAACAAACCAAGCCCUGUUGGUGUCAGGAAACAUAUAAUUUCCACUCAUCGCUUAGCAUUAUUUUGUCUGUGUAUCUUUUUUGAUUGUGGACUGAAGUCACUUACGCAUGCAUACCAGAAACCAUGCCAUGAAGUAUGAAGUUAAUGUAUAAAGUAACCGAAUAUAAAUUGAUAAUUGACUUGGACAACUUUAACAAAAGGAAAUUCGUGAUUGAAAAUCGAAUCUCUUGGCCCUUAGGAUAUUUACAGAUAUUUUCAUGAAUUGAUUAUGAAAGGUUCUUUAAUUACUGCAAGAUGAUCUAAAAUGGAAAAAACAUCUUUCGUCGAACAUGUGCCGAGUAUAAAAAAUAUUUGAAAAACUCCUAAU